rnacentral:rRNA from 1 species
GACGAACGCUGGCGGCGUGCUUAACACAUGCAAGUCGAACGGAACGGCCCUGCUUUUGUGGGGUGGUCGAGUGGCGAACGGGUGAGUAACACGUGAGUACCCUGUCCUUGACUUUGGGAUAACUUCAUGACACUGGGGCUAAUACCGGCUAGGAGCUCCUGCUGCAUGGUGGGGGUUGGUAAGUUUCGGCGGUUGGGGAUGGACUGGCGGCGUAUGAGCUUGUUGGUGGGGUAGUGGCUUACCAAGGUCUUGACAGGUAGCCGGGCUGGGAGGGUGACCGGCCACACUGCGACGGAAAUGAGGCCCAGACUCGAACGGGAGGCAACAGUGGAGAGUGGUGCACAAGGGGCGGAACGAUAGUGCAACAAAGCCGCGUGGGGGAUGACGGGCAUCGGGUUGGGAUCCACUGUCGUCUGUGACGAAGCGUGAGUGACGGUAAUGGGUGAAGAAGCACCGGCUAACUACGUG